rnacentral:tRNA from 1 species
ACUCAGUCGGUAGAGCGCAAGGCUCUUAACCUUGUGGUCCUGGGUUCAAGUCCAGG